rnacentral:rRNA from 1 species
UGUGGAAGUGCGGUAACGCAUGUAGCUGACCAGUACUAAUAGCUCAAUUGGCUUGAUUUAUG